AUGAACUGCCAUACCAGUGUGUCUUCAAUGGAGAAGAUGACACACACAUCAUCUGACCUCCUGCCUGAUCUGGAGACCAUCAUCAUGCUGCCACACUACACACCUCUGAGACCAUCAAUGAUGACUGAUACUGAGGAAACUGUAUUUCCUGUCAGAGAUACUCAGUGAUCCUCAGAGCAGAGAGAGGUAUUGCUGUCUUCUGAGUUCUUCAGUGUCCCAACUGAGACAUUCAAACCUCAUUGCAGAGCUCAUGUCUUUCCUCACCAUCAUGUGAGUGUGAGAUUGCUCUGGAUUCUGGUUAUGUGGCCUGCAGCACCUAUAAGAACAAGCUCGUCCUGUGUGCCUGCAUUCCAGCUUCUUAGACUCUACGCAAGUGGACAGAGUAUCAGUGCUUGGCCACUCUUACAGACACCGACUUCUGUCAACUCAGUGCUACUGAUCAGGCACCUCACUCCAGGAAGACAGAGGGCUGCAAGCCUGUUAUCGUUUCCAGUGUGGCUUUGUAUUCUUGGGGUAGCAUCAGAUUUUUCCCACAAAUAUUCAAAGGUAACACUUAUUUUAAGCUUAGUUAUUAAAUCAAAAGUCUUCCCUUGUGUUAAUUGUUUUAUUUUUUAUUUAUUUUUUUUCUUUUACAUUUAUAUGCAGUUAUCGGAUGUGGUGGAGCUUUGUUAACUGUGUGUAAAACAUCUGUUUGUGAUGAUAUUUACAAUGAGGUUUUAAGGUGACAGUUUCCAAGUAAUUUCAAUCAUUUGACUAAGCAAAAACAUGUUUGCAAUU
ensembl:lncRNA